CCCAGUUGCAGGCAAUAUUCAAAGUACGGAAAAGUUUUCCUUUUGAAAAGUCAUGAAGAUGGUAAAUAGGUGGAAAUCGCAGCAGAGAAAGAUAGAGUUGAAUGGAAGAUGGGACCUCCAAAGGGGAGAGGAAAAGACAAAUCGAAUUCAAAGGGAGGCCAAUCUCUCUCCUCUCCUUCUCCUUCUCCUUCUCCAUCAAAUGAGAACAAGUACCCUUGUUGCAUUCGCUUCCUUCCUCCUUCCACCGUUGCCAUUACCGUCCACGCCAAACCCGGCUCCAAGCUUCCUGCCAUCACAGAUAUCAACGACGAGGCGUUGGGAGUGCAGAUAGACGCACCCGCCAAAGACGGAGAAGCUAACGCUGCCCUCCUCCUUUUCAUUAGCUCCGUUCUCGGUGUGAAGAGAAGGCAAGUAUCAAUAGGUUCUGGUUCAAGGUCGAGGGACAAGGUCGUGCUUGUGGAGGAAGUAUCUUUACAAAAUGUUUUUGAUGCUUUGAAGAAAGCUUGCCAGUGCCAAUGAUGGAUGAGGAGGAUCUCUAGACGAAGUAGACGAUUGGUGGGGGCCAUGAGCGUGGAGGGAUUUAUUUUUUGGAUGGUGCCACUACUGGGGCUACUAAUAUUUUGUCAUUAGAUAGGGAGACCAUUGUAUGUUUGUCUUAGACUUAAUGUCCAAGGACCCUCCAACAAAAUGAUGUUGCCGAGAGGAAAAAUCGUCAUCUUCUUGGGGUUACACGCGCUCUCCUUCUUGCCAGAUCUUUCCUAUGUCGUGUGUGUCAUCAGCCAAUUUAUACAUGCUCCUUGUACUACCCAUCUUAUUAUAGUUCUUUGGAUUCUUCAUUAUUUGAAGGUGGCUCUUAGUAGGGGUUUAUGAUUUCAGAGGCAUGAUCACCUUCACAUUUUUGAUUACUCUAAUGCUGAUGGUGCUGGUAGCAUUUUUUAUCAGCUUUUUAUAUCCAUGUAUUUUACUUUUGUGGAUGACAAUCUUGUCAUUUGAAAAAGUAAGAAAUAGGUUGCUUGAGUCAUUAUAGAGGCUAAUUAUAAGGCGAUGACUCAUGUGACUUUUAUGCUCGUUUGGCUUUGGACACUAUUAUAGGAGCUUGUCUAUCCUUCUUUUGGUCUCAUUCCAUUACAUUGUUACAAUCAAACUGCUAUUCACAUUGCUAGCAAUCGGGUAUUUCAUGAGUAUAA